UACCAGCCCCCCGAGUGGUCGGGACGUUUCUUGGGCCUAAAGCAUCCGUAGCCGGUUCUACAAGUCUUCCGUUAAAUCCAACUGCUUAACAGGUGGGCUGCGGAAGAUACUAUAGAGCUAGGAGGCGGGAGAGGCAAGCGGUACUCGAUGGGUAGGGGUAAAAUCCGUUGAUCCAUUGAAGACCACCAGUGGCGAAGGCGGCUUGCCAGAACGCGCUCGACGGUGAGGGAUGAAAGCUGGGGGAGCAAACCGG
rnacentral:rRNA from 1 species